rnacentral:tRNA from 1 species
UCACCCGCGCGGGCGGCGGCGGCCACGGCGGCGGCGCUGGUGUCGCCGUCGGGGCCCGGCCGCCAGCCGCGUUCGAGGGCGCGGCGGGCGAU